UGUUAAAAUUUUCAUCCGUUUCUACUAUUAAAAAUUGGUGUAGUUGAUAAAAUAACCAGCCACUUGUACCUCAUUCUGAUUUACUGACUUACAAGGACCCAAUUUGUAAUAGUAAAAAUAGAUUGAAAUUUUAGAA
rfam:Gossypium hirsutum cultivar TM-1 chromosome 4, whole genome shotgun sequence